GACGGAGGGUGCAAGCGUUGCUCGGAAUCACUGGGCUUAAAGGGUACGUAGGCGGCGCUGUCAGUCGGGUGUGAAAGCCCUCGGCUCAACCGAGGAAUUGCGCCCGAUACUGCAGUGCUUGAGGGAGACAGAGGUAAGCGGAACUGAUGGUGGAGCGGUGAAAUGCGUUGAUAUCGAUCAGGAACACCAGUGGCGAAAGCGGCUUACUGGGUCUCUUCUGACGCUGAGGUACGAAAGCUAGGGGAGCGAAGGGG
rnacentral:rRNA from 1 species